rnacentral:rRNA from 1 species
UACGAAGGUGGCAAGCGUUGUUCGGAUUUACUGGCGUACAGGGAGCGUAGGCGGUUGGAUAAGCCCUCCGUGAAAUCUCCAGGCUUAACCUGGAAAGUGCAGAGGGACUGUUCAGCUAGAGGAUGGGAGAGGAGCGCGGAAUUCCCGUGUAGCGGUGAAAUGCGUAGAGAUCGGGAGGAAGGCCGGUGGCGAAGGGCGGCGACUC